ACGACCUUACAUGAACAGGAUCUUUCCUAUAGGUUGAACCUCUGUAUUCUUGAUUUCUCAAGAGACAGGCCCUUAACCCUGGUUGAUGAACCGAGACCGUGCGACUAUAGCGUGAUUAACGGCCUCAAUCGUCUCUAAAAUGUAUCUGGUGCUGUAGAGGAUCGUUACUCGGCUUGGUCGGAUCCCAACCGGGGUGGUUGCACGUCCGUCUGAUAGGCC
rfam:Arabis alpina cultivar Pajares Aa.chr8_contig_608, whole genome shotgun sequence.